UACGUAGGGGGGCAAGCGUUGUCCGGAAUUAUUGGGGCGUAAAGAGCGUGUAGGCGGUCCGGUAAGUCGGUUGUGAAAGUCGGGGGGUCAACCCUCGGAUGCCGAUCGAUACUGUCGGGCUAGAGUCCGGAAGAGGCGAGUGGGAAUUCCUGGUGUAGCGGUGAAAUGCGCAGAUAUCAGGAGGAACACCAUGGCGAAGGCAGCUCGCUGGGACGGGUACUGACGCUGAGG
rnacentral:rRNA from 1 species